AGGACAGGAAGGGACAAUGAAAAAUACAUUGAUUGUGACUGAAAUUGAAUGCAGAAAAACACUGAAUGUUUAAUUUUGUUUGAUGUUAAUUAAUUUUGAAGAAUCAAAGAAAUACAACUACGGCAGUUAUUAAUGCACGUGAUUAAUGGAAAUGGAACCUGGUUGUGAUGUCGAAACCUUGCAUCAAUGUGUUGUAUGUGAUGAGAAUUUUCAACAAUUCCUUGACCUAGAAAACCAUAAUAAAAUACAUGUAAAGAAAGAGAAAACACAACAUGAUAGCCUGAAUCAAAAACAUGUAACCAUUAGAGAAGAUAAAUCUAACAUUGUUGAGCCAGAGGAAAAUUAUCGUGUACAUUUUAAAUCAGAAAGAACUGAUCAUGAUAAAAACUCUGUUUUACGUUUUAAGUCAGAAAAAAAUGAUCACAAUGUAGCUGCUCAUGAAUGUAAUUUGUGUGGUGAGAUGUUUGAAUUAUACACUGAUUUUGAAGAACAUUGUAAAACUCAUACUAAUAAAGAAGAGCCUAUACCAAGUACUUCACAGCAGUUUGCCUGCGAGUUGUGUGGUGAAAUAUUUCAAUUUUUCACCGAGUUACACAAACACCGCAAAAUACACAAAGAAGAACGUCGGAAAAUGAAAGUUGCGGGCGGGAAUCCUGUGACAAGUAUUUCAAACAAAUUUACAAUUCUUAAGAAACUACUGAAUAAGAACCCAGUGGAACCGACAAUAGAUAUGGGAGAAAUACCUUAUAAAUGCGAUGUUUGCGGGGAUUCUUUUUACACACGUUCCACUCUGAUUAAACACAAAGAGACACAUAACCGUAUUAAGAAACAUCACAAGUGUGACCUAUGUGAUAAAGCAUUCAGUUGGAGACAGAAUCUGAGAAGUGACAAGGCCACGCAUACUGGUGAUAAACCUCAUACAUGUGAUUAAUGUGAUAAUUCCUUCACGACGAAAUCCAGUCUUACUCAACACAUGCGUACACAUUCUGGCCAGAAACCUUUCAAAUGUGAUGUUUGCAGUAGAUCAUUUGCCUGGAAGCAGAAUCUUAAAAGUCAUAUGACGAUUCAUACCGUCAAUGAUUCUGUUGAAAAAUGAAAACAUCGGUUUAUAGACAAUUCGUCAAGAUGCACAGAAAAUUGAACAGGAGCUGCAACAAUCUUUAAAAUACAGUACCGAUUGGUUGGAAAAGUGAGCAGGAAAAGUUACAGCAGAUGAUUUGUGGAAUGAAAACUUGAAAGUUUAUGACAUUGUUUAUUCUUUUUUAUUCAUCAUUAAGCAAUAAAAUAUUGCAAAUAACACAAAAAGAAAGGCAUGUUUUCACCAUUUAUUUUCUGCUAAAUAUCAUCCAGAAAAAUAAAAACCAAGUCAAUGAUUCUGUUGAAAAAUGAAAACAUCGGUUUAUAGACAAUUCGUCAAGAUGCACAGAAAAUUGAACAGGAGCUGCAACAAUCUUUAAAAUACAGUACCGAUUGGUUGGAAAAGUGAGCAGGAAAAGUUACAGCAGAUGAUUUGUGGAAUGAAAACUUGAAAGUUUAUGACAUUGUUUAUUCUUUUUUAUUCAUCAUUAAGCAAUAAAAUAUUGCAAAUAACACAAAAAGAAAGGCAUGUUUUCACCAUUUAUUUUCUGCUAAAUAUCAUCCAGAAAAAUAAAAACCAAGGUGCGUCGCACUAACUUUGUUUUUUUCGAUAUUUUUCUGAACUCAGUAUUUUUUGACAGUUUAUAAUUCUGUGAUGAUUUUAUAUCGAUAAAAUGAAAUAUCGCCCAGCUCCAACUUGAUGGACAUCCUGAGGAGCUUCUUGCAAUGUAAUCACUCGAGGGACCACGUUUGUUUCUUUUAAGAUAAGUUAUGUAAUAAUGACUUUCCCUGUCAUUUUUUUUUUGUUCAGAAUAAUGAAGUAAAAUCAUUGAAAUGUAGUCUUUAUAGGACAUUAUAAUUAGUUUUUUUGGUUAAUUGAAUCAAUUUUAAUAUGAAAUAAUGACUUUUCCUUUCCUUUUUUUGAGAAUAAUGAAGUAAAAUCAUUGAAAUGUAGUCUUUAUAGGACAUUAUGAUUAGUUUUUUUGUUUAAUAUAAUCAUUUGUAAUAUUGUAUAACCUGAAGCAUUAUGAAUAAACCCCCACUCAUUUCA